CCUACGGGGGGCAGCAGUGAGGAAUAUUGGUCAAUGGGCGGGAGCCUGAACCAGCCAAGUCGCGUGAGGGAAGACGGUCCUACGGAUUGUAAACCUCUUUUGCCGGGGAGCAACGGCGGCCUUGCGUGGGCGCGAUGAGAGUACCCGGAGAAAAAGCAUCGGCUAACUCCGUGCCAGCAGCCGCGGUAAUACGGAGGAUGCGAGCGUUAUCCGGAUUUAUUGGGUUUAAAGGGUGCGUAGGCGGGAUGCCAAGUCAGCGGUAAAAAUGCGGUGCUCAACGCCGUCGAGCCGUUGAAACUGGCGUUCUUGAGUGGGCGAGAAGUAUGCGGAAUGCGUGGUGUAGCGGUGAAAUGCAUAGAUAUCACGCAGAACUCCGAUUGCGAAGGCAGCAUACCGGCGCCCUACUGACGCUGAGGCACGAAAGCGUGGGUAUCGAACAGGAUUAGAUACCCCAGUAGUC
rnacentral:rRNA from 1 species